rnacentral:rRNA from 1 species
GACGAACGCUGGCGGCGUGCUUAACACAUGCAAGUCGAACGGGAUGAUCUUAAAGCUUGCUUUUAGAGAAUCUAGUGGCAAACGGGUGAGUAACACGUAGACAACCUGCCGACAGGAUGGGGACAACAUUCCGAAAGGAAUGCUAAUACCGAAUGAAGCGGAGGAGAGGCAUCUCUCUUCCGUGAAAGAUGGCCUCUGAACAUGCUAUCACCUGUCGAUGGGUCUGCGUCUGAUUAGCUGGUUGGUGAGGUAACGGCUCACCAAGGCGACGAUCAGUAGCCGGUCUGAGAGGAUGAACGGCCACAUUGGGACUGAGACACGGCCCAGACUCCUACGGGAGGCAGCAGUGGGGAAUCUUCCGCAAUGGGCGCAAGCCUGACGGAGCAACGCCGCGUGAGUGAAGAAGGUCUUCGGAUCGUAAAGCUCUGUUGAUGGGGACGAACGUACGGAGUGCAAAUAGUG